rnacentral:rRNA from 1 species
CCUACGGGGGGCACCAGUAGGGAAUCUUCGGCAAUGGACGAAAGUCAGACCGAGCAACGCCGCGUGAGUGAAGAAGGUUUUCGAAUCGUAAAACUCUGUUGGUAGAGAAGAACGUUGGUCAGAGUGGAAAGCUCAUCAAGUGACGGUAACUACCCAGAAAGGGACGGCUAACUACGUGCCAGCAGCCGCGGUAAUACGUAGGUCCCGAGCGUUGUCCGGAUUUAUUGGGCGUAAAGCGAGCGCAGGUGGUUUAUUAAGUCUGGUGUAAAAGGCAGUGGCUCAACCAUUGUAUGCAUUGGAAGCUGGUAGACUUGAGUGCAGGAGAGGAGAGUGGAAUUCCAUGUGUAGCGGUGAAAUGCGUAGAUAUAUGGAGGAACACCGGUGGCGAACGCGGCUCUCUGGCCUGUAACUGACACUGAGGCUCGAAAGCGUGGGGAGCAAACAGGAUUAGAUUCCCUAGUAGUC